GGCCAGAGUGCGAGGCUGCCAACUCGCUGCUCUGUGGAGCUGACGGCGUUCUGAGGAAGCUGAGGAAUUUCAGCUGACCAGCUAACUGAUUUAGAAGAAGCAAGAUGGACAAAAUGAUUGCUUGCUUGGGAAGUUUGGCUAAGACCAAGUGAAGGUCCUCGAAGACUAAUGGCUGUGCAAGACCCCGGUGCUGGAAACCACAGCCAUACACAACAGGGAGUUGAAAUGAGUCAAGGUGGGGUGCCCACAAGGGCCAAGUCAAAAGGGAAGAGGAGAGUUCACCCCCCACGGCCUCAGGAAAAGUACAGCGACCCUUGAACAACACAGUUGUGAACUGCACAAGUCCACCUAUAUGUGGAUUUUUUUCCCCUAAGUAUAUAAAAGUAAAUGUGCAGGACGCCGUGUGCAAGACUUGUAAUGAAGUGGAUAACCUAUCCUUACUAAGGCUUAAGAUCUACAGAAAGAAAAGAAAAAUGUCCAUGGGAAGAAGUGACAAGAAACAGCAGUGGAGGAAUAUCAAUGAUUAUUGACAGGCAUGUUCCAAACAAGCUCUGAUUUUCUUGGCAAAACAGCCCCAUAAAGAGUCUCACCAACUUCUCCCUUGGGAGACUCGGAGACUCAGGCAAGGGAAAAAAAAACGAGGCUAGACACCUGUCCCCAAAGGAAAAAGGAAGAACACACCUGGAGAGCAGAUCAGACAAAAGGAGCCAAGGGGGAAAAAAAAAGAGUAAUUGGAGAGGAUACUGCUUCCAAGCUGUUGCUGAUUUAUAAGGGCCACACCUACACCAGAGCCACAGCAAGGUGGGAUCCGAGCGCGCG